UACGUAGGGUGCAAGCGUUAUCCGGAAUCACUGGGCGUAAAGCGUGCGUAGGCGGAAAUUUAAGUGUGAUGUUAAAUCGUGGGGCUCAACCCUGUCGAUGCAUCGCAUACUGGGUUUCUAGAGGACGGCAGAGGCAAGUGGAACUCGUAGUGUAGCAGUGAAAUGCGUAGAUAUUACGAAGAACACCAAUGGCGAAGGCAGCUUGCUGGGCCGCCCCUGACGCUGAGGCACGAAAGCGUGGGGAGCGAACAGG
rnacentral:rRNA from 1 species